AUUGAACGCUGGCGGCAGGCCUAACACAUGCAAGUCGAACGGUAACAGGAAACAGCUUGCUGUUUCGCUAACGAGUGGCGGACGGGUGAGUAAUGUCUGGGAAACUGCCUGAUGGAGGGGGAUAACUACUGGAAACGGUAGCUAAUACCGCAUAACGUCGCAAGACCAAAGAGGGGGACCUUCGGGCCUCUUGCCAUCAGAUGUGCCCAGAUGGGAUUAGCUAGUAGGUGGGGUAACGGCUCACCUAGGCGACGAUCCCUAGCUGGUCUGAGAGGAUGACCAGCCACACUGGAACUGAGACACGGUCCAGACUCCUACGGGAGGCAGCAGUGGGGAAUAUUGCACAAUGGGCGCAAGCCUGAUGCAGCCAUGCCGCGUGUAUGAAGAAGGCCUUCGGGUUGUAAAGUACUUUCAGCGGGGAGGAAGGCGAUAAGGUUAAUAACCUUGUCGAUUGACGUUACCCGCAGAAGAAGCACCGGCUAACUCCGUGCCAGCCGCCGCCGUAA
rnacentral:rRNA from 1 species